CGCGGCCUAUCAGCUUGUUGGUGGGGUAACGGCCUACCAAGGCAUCGACGGGUAGCUGGUCUGAGAGGACGAUCAGCCACACUGGGACUGAGACACGGCCCAGACUCCUACGGGAGGCAGCAGUGGGGAAUAUUGCGCAAUGGGCGAAAGCCUGACGCAGCAACGCCGCGUGGGGGAUGACGGCUUUCGGGUUGUAAACCCCUUUCAGUGAUGACGAAACUGACGGUAAUCACGGAAGAAGCCCCGGCCAACUACGUGCCAGCAGCCGCGGUAACACGUAGGGGGCGAGCGUUGUCCGGAUUUAUUGGGCGUAAAGAGCUCGUAGGCGGUUGCGUAAGUCGGAUGUGAAAACUCAGGGCUCAACCCUGAGAUGCCAUUCGAUACUGCGCUGACUGGAGUCCGGUAGGGGAGCAUGGAAUUCCUGGUGUAGCGGUGAAAUGCGCAGAUAUCAGGAGGAACACCAGUGGCGAAGGCGGUGCUCUGGGCCGGUACUGACGCUGAGGAGCGAAAGCAUGGGUAGCAAACAGGAUUAGAUACCCUGGUAGUCCAUGCCGUAAACGUUGGGCACUAGGUGUGGGACCUACUUAACGGGUUCCGUGCCGUAGCUAACGCAUUAAGUGCCCCGCCUGGGGAGUACGG
rnacentral:rRNA from 1 species